ensembl:lncRNA
UUUUUACUAUAGCCUUUUAUUCAAGUAAUAUUUAUUCAAUAUCAGAAUGUAAACAUAGCUGUGGGACUGAGCAAUAGGAAAAUAAAAUAAUAUUCACUUUAACGCACAGCAGACAACAAUUCGAUCAGCAUGGAAUCUUGGUCAGGAUCUUUGCCUAAUUGAAUCUUCGUCUGACCAAUAGCACCAUCUCGUGACCAUGCUUUGUCCUGUUUUAUUAAGUACAUUACAUUAAAUGACAAUACAUAAGACUUUUAAUUUACUACUAGCAUAAUUACAGGCAAAAAUUAUGAGUAGUCAUCGGCAGUUAAUAUUUCAAGUUAAUGUUUAAAAUAAUAGUUUUCUACAAAAUUGAAACAAGUGCCUGAGAUUAUUCCCCAUUUAAACCUUCUCGGCCUGUCAGUUUGUCUUGACUUGUUAUCUUGUUAUACUCACUGUAGACACUCGUAGUACUAUUCUUCCAAACCUAAAGCACCUUAGACGUAUACUGUUCCGGUCUCGUUCGAUGAGGGAAGACGAGGAGACAAGUCGUGUUAUUGUUUAGGGGCAGGAUUUUACACAGUGCCCCUUAAAGUAGAUCCUUUUUUCUCUUCAAUUUCACUUUUUGUAUUUUUCUAUGAAGUGAUGAAAAAUAUUUUAUUGUAAUUUGUAAUUUUUUAACAAUAUAUUAUCCCACCACCCCAAUCCAAAAGAUACUCCGGGUGAUCCUACCCCAACCUUACUCAAAAUCCAAUCAAACUAUUUAUCUAGCACAUUUCCUACAACAGGUAUUUCAAUUCACUUUAACAGAUGAAAAAAUAAAAGAGAGAAAACAGAUAAAAAUAUAUAGUGUGAAUUUCAGUCAAUAUGAAGUAUGAACACAAUAUGAAUAAACACAACAUGAAGGUGAAAAAUAAUGAAAAUCACAUUAUCUUCAUGUGUCUUUAUGUACAUAAUAUUAGUAACUAAAUCUAAUGUUUUUCUAGUAACCCAUGCUUUAUUUCCAGUCCUGGUGUGGUCAGGUGGAUGAUGUCUGACGUCUCCCGGAGUCAAUGGCCUCAUACUCAGGAUUAAACAUGAUUACAUCAUAGGAGUCAGCAGGAGCAUAUUCAUCAGGCCUGUUUUGGACCGUUACAGGAUCUCUGACUUCAGGAUGUUUCACAAGAGAGUAGGGCCCCUGGUCUCCUGUUCCCACAGCAUAUGGGGAACCUACACCGGUUAAAGAAAGCAGUGUGAUUAGAUGGUGGAAAAACUCUCAGUACUGGAAUGAAUAUGCCAACUCACAGUCAAGUGUCUCCUCUCCAUCUUGGUUUCUGCAAUUAGACAACAAAGGAUUCAUCAACUGGACAGUGACGGCCCACCACUCACCACUAAGGAGUAAGAAAUUCAGAAUGAUUAAACAAUCUACCAUGACGAAGCAAAUGAAUGAGGAAACAGAGCUUCCUGUGGAGAAAGAUCAACAGAAUCAACAGAAGAUUGACAUUUGAAGAAAAGAAAUGCUUAAAUGUAAAAUUUCAGUGAGAGAAUUAUUAAUGCUUUUAGAUUUUUAUAACAGGGAUCAUGGCACAAAAG